rnacentral:rRNA from 1 species
GCAUAUCAAUAAGCGGAGGAAAAGAAACCAACCGGGAUUGCCUCAGUUAACGGCGAAGUGAAGCGGCAAGAAGCUUCAAAUUUGAAAGCUGGCUCCUUCGGGGUCCGCAUUGUAAUUUGCAGAGGAKGCUUCGGGUGCGGCCCCUGUCUAAGUGCCCUGGAACGGGCCGUCAGAGAGGGUGAGAAUCCCGUCUGGGAUGGGGUGUCCGCGCCCGUGUGAAGCUCCUUCGACGAGUCGAGUUGUUUGGGAAUGCAGCUCUAAAUGGGUGGUAAAUUUCAUCUAAAGCUAAAUACUGGCCGGAGACCGAUAGCGCACAAGUAGAGUGAUCGAAAGAUGAAAAGCACUUUGAAAAGAGAGUUAAAAAGCACGUGAAAUUGUUGAAAGGGAAGCGCUUGCGACCAGACUCGCCUCCAGGGUUCAGCCGGCAUUCGUGCCGGUGUACUUCCCUGGGGGCGGGCCAGCGUCGGUUUGGGCGGCCGGUCAAAGGCUCCCGGAAUGUAGUGCCCUCCGGGGCACCUUAUAGCCGGGAGUGCAAUGCGGCCAGCCUGGACCGAGGAACGCGCUUCGGCACGGACGCUGGCAUAAUGGUCGUAAACGACCCGUCUUGAAACACGGACCAAGGAGUCUAACAUCUACGCGAGUGUUCGGGUGUCAAACCCGUACGCGCAGUGAAAGCGAACGGAGGUGGGAGCCCCCUCGUGGGGCGCACCAUCGACCGAUCCUGAUGUCUUCGGAUGGAUUUGAGUAAGAGCGUAAAUGUGGGGACCCGAAAGAUGGUGAACUAUGCCUGAAUAGGGCGAAGCCAGAGGAAACUCUGGUGGAGGCUCGCAGCGGUUCUGACGUGCAAAUCGAUCGUCAAAUUUGGGUAUAGGGGGCGAAAGACUAAUCGAACCAUCUAGUAGCUGGUUCUGC